CCUACGGGAGGCUGCAGUGCGGAAUAUUCGUCAAUGGGCGCGAGCCUGAACCAGCCAAGUAGCGUGAAGGAUGACUGCCCUCCGGGUUGUAAACUUCUUUUAUAAAGGAAUAAAGUCAUGCACGUGUGCCUUUUUGUCUGUACUUUAUGUAUAAGGAUCGGCUCACUCCGUGCCAGCGGCCGCGGUACUACGGAGGAUCCGAGCGUUAUCCGGAUUUAUUGGGUUUAACGGGAGCGUAGAUGGGUUGUUAAGUCAGUUGUGAAAGUUUGCGGCUCAACCGUAAAAUUGCAAUUGAUACUGGCAGCCUUGAGUACAGAUGAGGUAGGCGGAAUUCGUGGUGUAGCGGUGAAAUGCUUAGAUAUCACGAAGAACUCCGAUUGCGAAGGCAGCCUACUAAACUGCCACUGACAUUGAUGCUCGAAAGUGUGGGUAUCAAACAGGAUUAGAUACCCCUGUAGUC
rnacentral:rRNA from 1 species